rnacentral:rRNA from 1 species
AUUGAACGCUGGCGGAAUGCUUUACACAUGCAAGUCGAGCGGCAGCGCGGGGCAACCUGGCGGCGAGCGGCGAACGGGUGAGUAAGGUAUCGGAACGUGUCCUGUCGCGGGGGAUAGCCCGGUGAAAACCGGAUUAAUACCGCAUACGAUCGAGAGAUGAAGGCGGGGGACCGCAAGGCCUCACGUGAUAGGAGCGGCAGAGAUCUUAGUAGCUAGUUGGUGGGGUAAAGGCACACCAAGGCUUCGAUCAGUAGCUGGUCUGAGAGGAUGAUCAGCCACACUGGGACUGAGACACGGCCCAGACUCCUACGGGAGGCAGCAGUGGGGAAUUUUGGGCAAUGGGGGCAACCCUGAUCCAGCCAUUCCGCGUGAGUGAAGAAGGCCUUCGGGUUGUAAAGCUCUUUUGUCCGGGAAGAAACGGUUUUGGCUAAUAACCAAGACUACUGACGGUACCGGAAGAAUAAGGACCGGCUAACUACGUGCCAGCCGCCGCCGUAA